GACUCUGCGAGCACCGCUCCCGCCCGGUCAGGGGCAGGUCCCGCGCCCGCCGCCUGCGGGACCCGAACCGGCGUCUUGAGAAGCCCGGCCCUCCUCCCUCCUCUCUCGCCCCGCGCCCGCCGCGAGCGAUGCCCCGAGACCCAGCCCACGCCUAGAGCGGGCAGCGGCCUGGCGGUGGGGUCGAAAGCUACGGCACAGAGCCGUGCCUGAGUCGGAAAGAAGCCUCGGCGGAAGCGGAAGCGGAAGCGGAGAUGGCCGCAGCGGAGCGGGCAGGGGCCGUGUGUGACCCUGGCCGGGUCAUUUCCGUCGGGCCGGGCAGGGUCCGUGGGGGCUCGGGCGGGGUUGGUGGGGACCAGGGCGCAAGCCAAGAAGGGCGGCGCGGCCGGGGGCGGGGACUGGGACGGGGCCAGCGCUCCGAGGAAGACGCGGGGAGCCUGGGGCAUGGGGCCAGGCUCGGGGCGCCGGGAGGUGACCUUCCCUCGCUGGCCCUGCACGAAGCACGACCUUCCUCGGGUUCAGCUCGCUCCCCUUGCAGCCCCUGGCAAGGAGGACCCUGAGCAUCUGUGUAGCCUGGAUGACCUUGCCCCGGAGGAGCCGAGGUGGGCACGCUAGGAGAGGCCCCCAGGGAUGACAUGGCGACCCGAAUGGCAGAAUCAUGUGGUCUCUCAUACCGCGGAACAGUAGGUCACGAUGAAAAGGAACCAUGCGGAUUCAAAGGACUGAUUGUCAGCUUAGGCAGAGCCCAGAAACACACGUGAAAAUUUACUGGAAAAACAGAGAGGGAGCCUGGGACUGGGGAUGGGGGACAAAGGGGACUUUAACUUAAUUGGCAUUGUUUUGUUUCUAGUCUAUGGAAGAGGCAGAGGUGGGAACACGAGUGCCUAUUAGGAUACUGUAUACUUUUUUGGUAAAUCUUUUAUUUUCUUUAAAUUAAAUAAAGGGGGGAAUUAGGUCCCCCUGUUCUUGUUUGGCCUGUGGCCACAGCAUCUGUUCCAGGAGAGAGGUGAGUCUGCAUGGGUGGGGGAAGAGAAGCCCUUAUCUCAGGGCAGGGCUCAUGCUCGCUGGGGACA
rnacentral:lncRNA from 1 species